rnacentral:rRNA from 1 species
UCGUCACACUAUCAUUAACUGAAUCCAUAGGUUAAUGAGGCGAACCGGGGGAACUGAAACAUCUAAGUACCCCGAGGAAAAGAAAUCAACCGAGAUUCCCCCAGUAGCGGCGAGCGAACGGGGAGGAGCCCAGAGCCUGAAUCAGCAUGUGUGUUAGUGGAAGCGUCUGGAAAGGCGCGCGAUACAGGGUGACAGCCCCGUACACAAAAGCGCAUGUGCUGUGAGCUCGAUGAGUAGGGCGGGACACGUGGUAUCCUGUCUGAAUAUGGGGGGACCAUCCUCCAAGGCUAAAUACUCCUGACUGACCGAUAGUGAACCAGUACCGUGAGGGAAAGGCGAAAAGAACCCCGGCGAGGGGAGUGAAAAAGAACCUGAAACCGUGUACGUACAAGCAGUGGGAGCACCCUUUGGGGUGUGACUGCGUACCUUUUGUAUAAUGGGUCAGCGACUUAUAUUCUGUAGCAAGGUUAACCGUAUAGGGGAGCCGGAGGGAAACCGAGUCUUAACCGGGCGUUAAGUUGCAGGGUAUAGACCCGAAACCCGGUGAUCUAGCCAUGGGCAGGUUGAAGGUUGGGUAACACUAACUGGAGGACCGAACCGACUAAUGUUGAAAAAUUAGCGGAUGACCUGUGGCUGGGGGUGAAAGGCCAAUCAAACCGGGAGAUAGCUGGUUCUCCCCGAAAGCUAUUUAGGUAGCGCCUCGUGAAUUCAUCUCCGGGGGUAGAGCACUGUUUCGGCUAGGGGGCCAUCCCGGCUUACCAACCCGAUGCAAACUGCGAAUACCGGAGAAUGUUAUCACGGGAGACACACGGCGGGUGCUAACGUCCGUCGUGAA